UACGUAGGGGGCGAGCGUUGUCCGGAAUUACUGGGCGUAAAGGGCGUGUAGGCGGUCAAAUAAGUCAGGUGUUUAAGCUGCCGGCUCAACCGGGAGAGUGCACCUGAAACUGUAUGACUUGAGGGCAGGAGAGGGAAGUGGAAUUCCUAGUGUAGCGGUGAAAUGCGUAGAUAUUAGGAGGAACACCAGUGGCGAAGGCGACUUCCUGGCCUGGCCCUGACGCUGAGGCGCGAAAGCGUGGGGAGCAAACAGG
rnacentral:rRNA from 1 species